CACCAACACAGUCAGGCUCCAAGUACUUUUAGGUGGCUUACAGAUUUUGGUUGACAAUUCAUAUUUUCUCCGCAUAUUUUUAGUGAGUGAAGGCAUGCUUAACCACUCAUGAUUCCAGUAGUUGGUUAAUCACUUCUUUAGAAUCUUCAAAAGAGGGUGCUUUGUGUAAAUAGGACUCUAUAGUUCCUGAGCUGAAAGUCAGGAUUUUACGGCUUGCCCCUUGUCAAAACUAUGAAUUCAAAGCGUAUUUGAAUUCCAUUUAUCAUA
rnacentral:lncRNA from 1 species